rnacentral:rRNA from 1 species
CCGUGGCGGCGGGACUACACAUGCAAGUCGAACGGUAACAUUUCUAGCUUGCUAGAAGAUGACGAGUGGCGGACGGGUGAGUAAUGCUUGGGAACUUGCCUUUGCGAGGGGGAUAACAGUUGGAAACGACUGCUAAUACCGCAUAAUGUCUUCGGACCAAACGGGGCUUCGGCUCCGGCGCAAAGAGAGGCCCAAGUGAGAUUAGCUAGUUGGUAAGGUAACGGCUUACCAAGGCGACGAUCUCUAGCUGUUCUGAGAGGAAGAUCAGCCACACUGGGACUGAGACACGGCCCAGACUCCUACGGGAGGCAGCAGUGGGGAAUAUUGCACAAUGGGGGAAACCCUGAUGCAGCCAUGCCGCGUGUGUGAAGAAGGCCUUCGGGUUGUAAAGCACUUUCAGUUGUGAGGAAAAGUUAGUAGUUAAUACCUGCUAGCCGUGACGUUAACAACAGAAGAAGCACCGGCUAACUCCGUGCCAGCAGCCGCGGUAAUACGGAGGGUGCGAGCGUUAAUCGGAAUUACUGGGCGUAAAGCGCACGCAGGCGGUUUGUUAAGCUAGAUGUGAAAGCCCCGGGCUCAACCUGGGAUGGUCAUUUAGAACUGGCAGACUAGAGUCUUGGAGAGGGGAGUGGAAUUCCAGGUGUAGCGGUGAAAUGCGUAGAUAUCUGGAGGAACAUCAGUGACGAAGGCGACUCCCUGGCCAAAGACUGACGCUCAUGUGCGAAAGUGUGGGUAGCGAACAGGAUUAGAUACCCUGCUAGUCCACACCGUAAACGCUGUCUACUAGCUGUGUGUGCCUUUAGGGCGUGCGUAGCGAAGCUAACGCGCUAAGUAGACCGCCUGGGGAGUACGGCCGCAAGGUUAAAACUCAAAUGAAUUGACGGGGCCCGCACAAGCGGUGGAGCAUGUGGUUUAUUCGAUGCACGCGAGGACCCUACCUACACUGAACUGCUGAGAAGUACUAGAGAUAGUUUCGUGUCUUCGGAACUCAGACACAGGGGCUGCAUGCUGUCGUCAGCUCGGGCCGGGAGAUGUUGGAUUAGUCCCCAACGAGCGCAACCCUUGCCCUUACUGGCGGAUCUAGUUGGGGACCCUAGGGGACUGCCGGGUGACAACCGGGAGAGAGUGGGGACAGCCUCAAGCUCUACUGGACCU